rnacentral:rRNA from 1 species
GACGAACGCUGGCGGCGUGCCUAACACAUGCAAGUCGAACGGAGAUGAUGGGAUAGCUUGCUAUUUAAUCAUCUUAGUGGCGGACGGGUGAGUAACACGUGGGCAACCUGCCCCAAAGAGGGGGAUAACACCGAGAAAUCGGUGCUAAUACCGCAUAACAUUAGAGCUUCGCAUGGAGCUUUAAUCAAAGGAGCAAUCCGCUUUGGGAUGAGCCCGCGUCUGAUUAGCUAGUUGGUGAGGUAACGGCUCACCAAGGCGACGAUCAGUAGCCGAUCUGAGAGGAUGACCGGCCACACUGGAACUGAGACACGGUCCAGACUCCUACGGGAGGCAGCAGUGGGGAAUAUUGCACAAUGGGGGAAACCCUGAUGCAGCAACGCCGCGUGGAGGAAGAAGGUCUUCGGAUUGUAAACUCCUGUCUUCUGGGACGAAUAAUGACGGUACCAGAGGAGGAAGCCACGGCUAACUACGUGCCAGCAGCCGC